ACGGCGAGUGAACGGAGAGAAGCCCAGCGCUGAAUCAUUUGAUCAACAAGUGAUCAAAUUGAAUUGUAGCGUAUAGGUGUAACUAUCCCAUUGUGUUUUGUGCACUCAAAGUCCCCUUGAGCGGGGCCAUAGUCCAUAGAAGGUGCUAGACCUGUACGGGUGACAAAACACUGGGUAUGUUUGCUCCUUGGAGUCGAGUUGCCUGAGAUCGCAGCUCAAAGUGGGUGGUAAACCUCAUCUAAGGCUAAAUAUGGCCACGAGACCGAUAGCAAACAAGUACCGUGAGGGAAAGUUGAAAAGAACUCUGAGAAGAGAGUUAAAGGAGGACGUGAAACCGCUAGGAUGGAAACGAAUAGAGUUGACGAAACCAACUAUCAUUCAACCGAUCAACUCAACGGUCUCUCAAAUAUAUGUACCUUGAUUAUAUUUUGUGUAUAUUCUACUAUAUUCUCUAUGGAUUAGUAGUGUAUGCAUUAUAUGUAUUAUCAAUGGGCAUAAAUGAGAGAUGCUGUUGAGUAAUUUGACAAAAAUACCUGUGUGAUUGGUGCAUUUGAUAGUGGUACGCGCCGAGAGCCGUGUUAUUGUACGAGAAAACUUUUGAUAGUGGAUCGAAUUGAUUUUGCAUAUAUUCGAAAACCUAUCAUAAGUGAUAGGCGGCGUAUCAAUAAUACGGUUGCAAUUGCAAUUUUCGCCAAUUUUUUUUUUCCAAUCAAAGUGGGGCAUUUUAAAAAUUCAAAAAAAUCAAUCAAUCAAUCAAUUUAUAAUGACCAUAAAUGAUCGCUUGCGUAUUAUUUAUGUGUGUUGAAUGUAUAAAUUGAGUUCAAAUUUUAAAAUGCGUCAAAAUUGCAUCUCGGUGUGAGCGU
rnacentral:rRNA from 1 species